GAGUUUGAUCCUGGCUCAGGAUGAACGCUGGCGGCGUGCUUAACACAUGCAAGUCGAACGAAGCACUACCGACGGAACUUUUCGGAGGGAAGAUGGUAAUGACUGAGUGGCGGACGGGUGAGUAACGCGUGGGCAACCUGCCCCAUAGAGGGGGACAACAGCUGGAAACGGCUGCUAAUACCGCAUAACAAGGAGAGAGCGCAUGUUCUUUUCUUCAAAGAUUUAUCGCUAUGGGAUGGACCCGCGUCUGAUUAGCUGGUUGGUGAGGUAACGGCUCACCAAGGCGACGAUCAGUAGCCGGCUUGAGAGAGUGGACGGCCACAUUGGGACUGAGACACGGCCCAGACUCCUACGGGAGGCAGCAGUGGGGAAUAUUGCACAAUGGGGGAAACCCUGAUGCAGCGACGCCGCGUGAGUGAAGAAGUAUUUCGGUAUGUAAAGCUCUAUCAGCAGGGAAGAUAAUGAUGGUACCUGACUAAGAAGCCCCGGCUAACUACGUGCCAGCCG
rnacentral:rRNA from 1 species